UUGAACGCUGGCGGCAUGCCUUACACAUGCAAGUCGGACGGCAGCACGGGUGCUUGCCCCUGGUGGCGAGUGGCGAACGGGUGAGUAAUACAUCGGAACAUGUCCUGUAGUGGGGGAUAGCCCGGCGAAAGCCGGAUUAAUACCGCAUACGAUCUACGGAUGAAAGCGGGGGCCUUCGGGCCUCGCGCUAUAGGGUUGGCCGAUGGCUGAUUAGCUAGUUGGUGGGGUAAAGGCCUACCAAGGCGACGAUCAGUAGCUGGUCUGAGAGGACGACCAGCCACACUGGGACUGAGACACGGCCCAGACUCCUACGGGAGGCAGCAGUGGGGAAUUUUGGACAAUGGGCGAAAGCCUGAUCCAGCAAUGCCGCGUGUGUGAAGAAGGCCUUCGGGUUGUAAAGCACUUUUGUCCGGAAAGAAAUCCUUGGCCCUAAUACGGUCGGGGGAUGACGGUACCGGAAGAAUAAGCACCGGCUAACUACGUG
rnacentral:rRNA from 1 species